AUUGAACGCUAGCGGGAUGCCUUACACAUGCAAGUCGAACGAGUGGCGGACGGGUGAGUAAUAUCUCGGAACCAGCCUGAUGGCGGGGGAUAACUACUGGAAAGGGUGGCUAAUACCGCAUACCAUCGGAGCGGCCGCGAUGGGAUUAGCUAGUUGGGGGGGUAAAGGCUCACCAAGGCGACGAUCCCUAGCUGGUCUGAGAGGAUGACCCGCCACACUGGAACUGAGACACGGCCCAGACUCCUACGGGAGGCAGCAGUGGGGAAUUUUGCACAAUGGGCGAAACCCUGAUCCAGCCAUGCCGCGUGUAUGAUGAAGGCCUUCGGGUUGUAAAGUACUUUUAGCGGGGAGGCGGUAUCUGCAGAAGAAGCACCGGCUAACUCCGUGCCAGCAGCCGCGGUAAUUC
rnacentral:rRNA from 1 species